rnacentral:rRNA from 1 species
ACGGCUCAGUAACACGUAGUCAACCUAACCUAUGGACGGGAAUAACCUCGGGAAACUGAGAAUAAUGCCCGAUAGAACACUAUACCUGGAAUGGUUUGUGUUCCAAAUGAUUUAUCGCCAUAGGAUGGGACUGCGGCCUAUCAGUUUGUUGGUGAGGUAAUGGCCCACCAAGACUAUUACAGGUACGGGCUCUGAGGGGAGUAGCCCGGAGAUGGGUACUGAGACACGGACCCAGGCCCUAUGGGGCGCAGCAGGCGAGAAAACUUUGCAAUGUGCGAAAGCACGACAAGGUUGAUCCGAGUGAUUUGUGCUAAACGAAUCUUUUGUUAGUCCUAGAAACACUAACGAAUAAGGGGUGGGCAAGUUCUGGUGUCAGCCGCCGCGGUAAAACCAGCACCUCAAGUGGUCAGGAUGAUUAUUGGGCCUAAAGCAUCCGUAGCCGGCUCUGUAAGUUUUCGGUUAAAUCUGUACGCUUAACGUACAGGCUGCCGGGAAUACUGCAAAGCUAGGGAGUGGGAGAGGUAGACGGUACUCGGUAGGAAGUGGUAAAAUGCUUUGAUCUAUCGAUGACCACCUGUGGCGAAGGCGGUCUACCAGAACACGUCCGACGGUGAGGGAUGAAAGCUGGGGGAGCAAACCGGAUUAGAUACCCGGGUAGUCCCAGCUGUAAACUAUGCAAACUCAGUGAUGCAUUGGCUUGUGGCCAAUGCAGUGCUGCAGGGAAGCCGUUAAGUUUGCCGCCUGGGAAGUACGUACGCAAGUAUGAAACUUAAAGGAAUUGGCGGGGGAGCAC